CCUGGUGUAGCAGGAAGUCCCGCCCCUUCCGGAUGUGGGACUCCCGCCCAGGUCUGACAUAAAAUAGGGGGAUGCCCACCCUCCUUCUUGGUGACACGGGAAGCGAUGCCCUUCUACCUGGCUUGGUGGGAACCCAGCCCCUCCUGUCCCCACGACAGGGAGAAAUGCAGAUUGUCUGAGACACAGGCUUGGGGAGCUCCUACUCGUGCUGCACCCCUGCCCCCCAUGGUGACCCCUCCCCACUCCAGUGUGGCCCGCAGACCAGCCUGGGAGAGGCGGUCUGGGUCCAGGGCCUGCAGGUAGGCUUGCCAACCCACACGAAGAGCCCCCACGUGGCCGUUGUCUCCAAGCAUCUGGGGACCUUCGUGUUUGGUGGCAUAAGAUGACCACAAGUCUCUUAAGGCCCCGCUUCCUGGCACGGUCCCUGCCCAACCCAGCUUCCUUCAACUAUGAGAGCAGCUACAUCACCGACACCUGCACCAGGCACCCCGAGAAUGUCCUCGAUGCCAGGCGAGCGGGCGGGCAUUGAGGGGAACCCAGGAAGCAGCCCCUGCCACACCCCAGCCCCAACUGAGAGAAAGUCGGGCCUGGCUUGUUAACUGGGCCAUCUCAUCAGACCCUCCCCAUGGCCCUAGAGGGCAGGCAUUGACCGCCCCAUCUUGCAGAUAAGGAAAUUCAGCCAAAGACAAGCAAAGUGACCGUGCAAGGUCAUUCAGCUAACAAGAAAUGCCAAGGUUCAACCCCAGGCAAGGCUGGAGCUGGCCGCACCUGCCAAGGACCCAAAGCCCAACAGAGGUGUCCAGGGGGAGCGCACUGUCCCCCACAACCUCCAUCAGCGUCCACAAGCAUCCCCAACCAAACAUGGAAGAAAAAUCGUGGUGUCACUUACUAUGCGGCUCCAGGACAAGUCCUCCAGGAACCGCCCGCCCCCCGCCCCCCAAAACACACCGCAGCUCCGGAGCCCCCAGCUCGCCCCACUAGGGGUCCUCUCGGUUGUCGCGAGGGUUCUGGCAAAGGAGACCUACACGGAAGGAGGAGGCAGGCUACGGAUGAGAAACUGAGGCAGGGCCGCCCGGGGCGG